AUGUGCCUAGCUCGAAUCCAUUUGUCACUCAAGCGUCUUCCUUUCUACUUCAUAUAUGGUUCUGCUUCUAUCUUUGCCUGUAUUGCUGAAGAUAGAAUGGAUCUUCUUAGGGCUGCGAUUAUUGGCCCUAAGGGAACACCCUACCAUGAUGGCCUCUUCUUCUUUGAUGCACAUUUUACCUCUAAUUAUCCUUCUGAGCCUCCGGUAUAUAAGCUUCCGGCAUUUUUAUCAUUUUACUAA
rnacentral:rRNA from 1 species